GGGAGUCUGGCCGAGUGGUUAAGGCGCUGUGUUUAGGCCGCAGUGGGAAACCGCGCAGGUUCGAAUCCUGCGGCUCUCA
rnacentral:tRNA from 1 species